rnacentral:rRNA from 1 species
UACGGAGGGUGCGAGCGUUGUCCGGAGUCACUGGGCGUAAAGGGCGCGUAGGCGGCAUGCCAAGCGUGUGGUGAAAGCCCGGGGCUCAACCCCGGGUCGGCCGUGCGGACUGGCGUGCUCGAGCACUGUAGGGGCGGGUGGAAUUCCGGGUGUAGCGGUGGAAUGCGUAGAGAUCCGGAAGAACACCGGUGGCGAAGGCGGCCCGCUGGGCAGGAAGGCUCGCAAGAGCCGGCUGACGCUGAGGCGCGACAGCGUGGGGAGCAAACAGG